rnacentral:rRNA from 1 species
AUUGAACGCUGGCGGCAGGCCUAACACAUGCAAGUCGAGCGGCAGCGGGGGAAAGCUUGCUUUCCCGCCGGCGAGCGGCGGACGGGUGAGUAAUGUCUGGGAAACUGCCUGAUGGAGGGGGAUAACUACUGGAAACGGUAGCUAAUACCGCAUAACGUCUUCGGACCAAAGUGGGGGACCUUCGGGCCUCAUGCCAUCAGAUGUGCCCAGAUGGGAUUAGCUAGUAGUUGGGGUAACGGCGCACCUAGGCGACGAUCCCUAGCUGGUCUGAGGGGAUGAAAAGGCACACUGGAACUGAGACGCGGUCCAGACUCCUACGGGGGGCAGCAGUGGGGAAUAUUGCACAAUGGGCGCAAGCCUGAUGCAGCCAUGCCGCGUGUAUGAAGAAGGCCUUCGGGUUGUAAAGUACUUUCAGCGGGGAGGAAGGUGUUGUGGUUAAUAACCGCAGCAAUUGACGUUACCCGCAGAAGAAGCACCGGCUAACUCCGUGCCAGCCGCCGCGGUAA